rnacentral:miRNA from 1 species
UGGGUUCGCCAAAAAGUUCAUUCGGGUUUUUCUGUAACAUGGAAAAACCUGCAUGAACUUUUUGGCCAAGCC